GAUUUAGAUGACCCCG
rnacentral:rRNA from 1 species